rnacentral:rRNA from 1 species
UACAGAGGGUGCGAGCGUUGUCCGGAAUCACUGGGCGUAAAGGGCGCGUAGGCGGUGACUUAAGCGUGCGGUGAAAGCUCGGGGCUCAACCCCGCGUCGGCCGUGCGAACUGGGUCACUUGAGCGUAUCAGAGGCAGGCGGAAUUCCGGGUGUAGCGGUGGAAUGCGUAGAGAUCCGGAAGAACACCGGUGGCGAAGGCGGCCUGCUGGGAUACUUGCUGACGCUGAGGCGCGACAGCGUGGGGAGCAAACAGG